UGGGGAAUUUUGGACAAUGGGGAAACCCUGAUCCAGCCAUCCCGCGUGUGCGAUGAAGGCCUUCGGGUUGUAAAGCACUUUUGGCAGGAAAGAAACGUCGCGGGUUAAUACCCCGCGAAACUGACGGUACCUGCAGAAUAAGCACCGGCUAACUACGUGCCAGCAGCCGCGGUAAUACGUAGGGUGCAAGCGUUAAUCGGAAUUACUGGGCGUAAAGCGUGCGCAGGCGGUUCGGAAAGAAAGAUGUGAAAUCCCAGAGCUUAACUUUGGAACUGCAUUUUUAACUACCGGGCUAGAGUGUGUUAGAGGGAGGUGGAAUUCCGCGUGUAGCAGUGAAAUGCGUAGAUAUGCGGAGGAACACCGAUGGCGAAGGCAGCCUCCUGGGAUAACACUGACGCUCAUGCACGAAAGCGUGGGGAGCAAACAGGAUUAGAUACCCUGGUAGUCCACGCCCUAAACGAUGUCAACUAGCUGUUGGGGCCUUCGGGCCUUGGUAGCGCAGCUAACGCGUGAAGUUGACCGCCUGGGGAGUACGGUCGCAAGAUUAAAACUC
rnacentral:rRNA from 1 species